AAACAUGUCUUUUUGAAUUAAAUUUAAAGUCUGACCUGCCCACUGAAUAAUUUUAAAUGGCCGCAGUAUUUUGACUGUGCAAAGGUAGCAUAAUCAUUAGUCUUUUAAUUGGAGGCUGGUAUGAACGGUUGGACGAAGUAUAAGCUGUUUCAUAUAAAUUUAUAAUAGAAUUUUAUAUUUUAGUUAAAAAGCUAAAAUUUUAUUAAAAGACGAGAAGACCCUAUAAAUCUUUAUAUUUAAUAUAAACUAAAUUUUUUUGAUUUAUUUUAUUUUUUUUAUAUUAAUUAUUUUGUUGGGGUGAUAUUAAAAUUUAAUGAACUUUUAAUUUUUUAAAUCAUUAAUUUAUGAAUUAUUGAUCCAUUAAUAUUGAUUAUAAGAUUAAGUUACUUUAGGGAUAACAGCGUAAUUUUUUUUGAGAGUUCAUAUCGACAAAAAAGUUUGCGACCUCGAUGUUGGAUUAAGGUAUAAUUUUGGGUGUAGCCGUUCAAAAAUUAAGUCUGUUCGACUUUUAAAUCCUUACAUGAUC
rnacentral:rRNA from 2 species